GUAAGUACAGUAUACUCCAUCUAUGUAAUAUUCUGCAAGUAUUAAAAAUAAGCAUUAUGUACACUUUUAGCAACAUGGGAAAUACUUCUAAUAUAGUGUGAAGAGAAAAAACUCAAAAUCAUAAAACAACAACAAAUCAAAAAAUAUGCAUAUAAAUAUGUUUGAAAGCAAAUAUCCCCAAAGGCUAACAACAAUUACGUGAGGUUAGUAGUGCUAAAGUUUCCUUUCUUCCAUUUCUCAAAUUUUUAUUGUGUGUUCCUUCUAGUGAAAAAAAUAUACCAUUCUCUCUCUAUGAAAAAAAGCAGUUGAGUAUAUUGGACCAGAGCACUGGCUCUGGAGCCAUUCUGCCUGUGUUACCACUUCUUAGGUGCAUGACCUUGGGCAAGUUGUUGAAGUUUUGUUCCUAAGUUUCUAAGUUUAUCCUGUAAAAUGAGUAUAAUUAUGGUACCUACCUCAUGGGGUGACUAUGAGGAUUAAAUAUGCUUAAAGUGUAUUUAGAACAAUGUCUGGAAUUUAGAAAACAUGUAAGCAUGAUCUAGAAUCAUUAUUGUUAUUUUACAGAAAAAUCUCCCUUAGUGACCAGAUACAAUGACAGUUCCCUCCAGCUGGUCCUGAGAUAGCCAUACCCAUUAGCAACAAGUUUCUUUUUCUUUUUUUGGGAGGGGGGGACGGGUGAAGAAGAUUGGCCCUGAGCUAACAUCUGUGCCAAUUGCCCUCUGUUUGUAUGUGGGAUGCCUCCACAACAUGGCUUGAUGAGUGGGGUGUAGGUCCACACCCGGGAUCCAAACCUGUGAACCUGUGACUGCCAAAGUGGAGCACGCAAACUUAACCACUAUGCAACUGGCCAGCCCCACAAGUUUUGUUUUUAUAGAGAGAUCUUACUUUGUCCUUACCAUGAAUUCUCCAAUGCAGAGACUUCUAGGAACCUCCCUACCAUUGAUUCAGGGGGGACUUCUGUACUCUUUUCAAGAAGCAGUGACAAAAAUCAAAUCUCUGAUAUGUUUUUAUUUUCAAGAAGUUCGGUGUCCCUGCUUGUGUCACAUCUCCGAGGACAUGUGCACGAGUGACUGAAACUGCCCAUUGAAGCCAAUAUUACAUUAACAUCAUCAGCACUGAGUUAGAGAAAAUGUUUAUCUACUUCUCCAAUUUUCACCCUUCCCUGGAUGUGUGACUUUCGACGAGCUCCCUGAUCUGAUCUGACAGGCUAAGUAACAAUAGAAAGCUGUUUAAGAAAUAGGACAUUUGUGACUUGAUUUUUCUGAAUGGAGCACCCCAGGAGGCCUGAUUAUAUGCUUUGAAACUUUUUUCCAUCUGGCAGACCCAAAAAGUUUGGAAGAUUUUGGUAGAAUUUCCUCAUUAGCUGAAACAGUUUCAUUGAAAUUAUAAAAAAAAGAAAAAAAAUCUGUAAGGAUGCCAAGAUUUAUUGUUAGCUGUCUUGAUGGCUAAUGAAAUGAUAUGACCUUGUGGUAACCCGUACCAGUUCAAUUAAACUGACAGGUGUUUGCUAGGUGGAAUAUUGCAGUACUUGUAAGAGGAAAGGACACAAAUUGAUGUUUCAUACAUUUGUGAGAAGAAUCCCUUUUUUUGGAACAAUCACUUUUGAUGUGUCUAUUUGGUUUUCAGGGUGUUGCGGGCCUCUGCUCUCGUAAUACUUCAGCUACAGAACCCACGUGUGAACGCUCCUAGCGCUCUGGAGAAGAUCAAAUGCAUGUGGAAGCUCUUUGAAAACCAUAAAGCCCUCUAAAUGAAAAGGAUCUUUGAAGAGGAAAGUGGACUGGUUUCUAAAACUGUUCAAUUGUUUGAAGGUCCUUCUAGUUGUGGGAUGUGGGACGCCACCUCAACGUGGCCUGACGAGUGGUGCCAUGUCCGCACCCAGGAUCCGAACCCUGGGCCACCGCAGCGGAGCGCACGAACUUAACUGCCCAGCCA
rnacentral:lncRNA from 1 species